GACUCGGAGCGGCACGAAAGCGGCGCGGAGCUUCUCCGAGGUUCUCGGAGCGGCUCGGUGGGGCUCGGAGCUCCUCGGAGGGGCUCGGAACGACUCGCAGCGGCUCGGAGCUACUCGGAGGGACUCGGAGCGGCGAGAAAGCGGCUCGGAGCUUCUCCGAGGGGCUCGGAACGACUCGCAGCAGCUCGGAGCUACUCGGAAAGACUCGGAGCAGCUCGGAAGGACUCGGAGCAGCUCGGAGCGGCUUGGAGUUGCUCGGAGGGGCUCGGAGCGACUCGCAGCGGCUCGGAGAUUCUCGAUCGCGUUACCGGUGUGCAGCAGCACCGACACGAGCAUGUCUCGGGAAAGCAAUACAUCUGAGCAAAUCCGGGCUCUGUAACGCGCUAUAUAUACGCGCCGGUUUCUGCCACGCGAGACGCAUACGCCAGCCGCGGCACGGUAAUACGCAUGCGCCAGCUCAGCACCGAACAGCGUAUGCGACUUCUUGACACAGCACUGCGCAUGCGUCGGUCAUUGCGUGCAGCCCGCAUGCGCCGACUUCAUGCAGGCAGUACCCCUGCGCCUUCCUGGACAUCGCACUGCGCAUGCGUCAGUUUCCUCACCGCAGAGCGCAUGCGCAAUUCUCCUCGCUGCAGCGCACAUGAGGCGAGACCGGACAGGACUCUUUCGCGCAAAAUUCAUAUCUGCUUUUCCAUGCGCGUUGUUGGGCACGGAUUGGUUACGAGGGGACACCAGAAGCGCGGAAAAAAAUUGAACGCAGUUCCGCACACCGGCCACACAGGAGCAGCGCAGAGAGCGGAAAACACUUCGCUGCAGUUCCGCAUAUCGGCCACAUGGGGGCAGUGCAGAAACAGCGGAAAAGACUUCGCUGCAGUUCCGCAUACCGGCCACACGAGGGCAGUGCAGAGACCGGGAAAAAACUUCGUUGCAGUUCCGCAUACCGGCCACACAGGGCAGUGCCGAGACCAGGAAAAAACUUCGUUGCAGUUCCGCAUACCGGCCACACGGGGGAAGUGCAGAGAGCGGAAAACACUUCGCUGCAGUUCCGCAUAUCGGCCACAUGGGGGCAGUGCAGAAACAGCGGAAAAGACUUCGCUGCAGUUCCGCAUAUCGGCCACACGAGGGCAGCGCAGAGAGCGGAAAGCACUUCGCUGCAGUUCCGCAUAUCGGCCACAUGGGGGCAGCACAGACAGCGGAGAAAACUUCGUUGCAGUUCAUCAUAUCGACCACACGAGGGCAGUGCAGAGACCGGGAAAAGACUUCGCUGCAGUUCCACAUAUUGGCCACACGAGGGCAGCCGAGAGAGCGAAGAACACUUCGUCACGCUGCACUGCGCAUGUGCCAACUUGGUCACUGCACAGCGCGUGCGCCUCACUUCAUGCAGUACGGCACAUGCGCCGCUCUCGCAGCGGCACUGCUCAUGCGCUCGUCCAGACGCACGCACAGUCGAUUCGCAGCGCAGUGCGCAUGCUUCAGUCCCGUUGCAGUUCCACAUGUCGGCCACACGGGGGCAGCCCAGAGAGCGGAAAGCACUUCGUUGCAGUUCCGCAUAUUGGCCACAGGAGGGCAGCACAGAGUGCGGAAAAACUUCGUUACAGUUCCGCAUAUUGGCAACACGGGGGCAGUGCAGAGACAGCGGAAAAAACUUCGUUGCAGUUCCGCAUAUCGGCCACCCGAGGGCAGUGCAGAGACAGCGGAGAACACUUCGUUGCAGUUCCGCUUAUCGGCCACACGGGGGCAGUGCAGAGACCGGGAAAAAAUGUUGCAGUUCCGCAUAUCCGUCACACGAGGGCAGUGCAGAGAGAGGUAAAAACUUCGUUGCAGUUCCUCAUAUCGGCCACAUGGGGGCAGUGCAGAGACAGCGGAAAAAACUUCGUUGCAGUUUCUCAUAUCGGCCACAGGAGGGCAGCACAGACGGCGGAGAAAACUUCGUUGCAGUUCCGCAUAUCGGCCACACGGGGGCAGUGCAGAGACAGCGGAAAAAGACUUCGUCGCAGUUUCUCAUAUCGGCCACAGGAGGGCAGCCGAGACAGCGGAAAAGAAUUCGUCACGCUGCACUGCGCAUGCGUUGUCGGCCGAGUUCGCACGGCGCAUGCACCAAUUUCUCCGCACUGUGCAUGUGCCCACUUGGUCACAGCACUGCGCGUGCGCCUCACUUCAUGUGGUGCGGCGCAUGCGCCGCUCUCGCAGCGGCACUGCGCAUGCGCUCAUCCAGACGUACGCGCAGUAGUUUCGCAGCGCACUGAGCACGGGCCAGUCCCGGCGCUGCACUGCGCAUGCGUUUUCGGCCGAGUUCGCACGGCGCGUGCGCCUGUUUCUCCGCACUGCGGGCGAGCGCAGCACAGAGAGUGGAAAACACUUCGUUGCAGUUCCGCAUAUUGGCCACAAGAGGGCAGCCCAGAGAGCGGAAAACUGCGCAUGCGCUCAUCCAGACGCGUCGUCGCCUCCUUGCUGUUCCUUGCCCCAGCAGUGCUGUGUACUGCACGUGUGCUCUGUGAGCUUGCCAGUGAGGAAUGCUUCAGCAGCUGGGAUGUGGUUUUUCAUUGCCACUUUAACAGCAACUUCUUCCCCCUGUUCCUGGAGCACCUGCUGUCAGACCAGAUCUCUGUAUCUACUGGAUCCUUCCUCCUUGCAACCGGAUGUUCACAGAAGGGACCUGUAAGUUGCUCAACCUGGUGGUGACUGACUUGGUGGAUGAGGAUCUUGUACUGAACCGCAGAAAGCAGGCAGCUUCAGCACCGCUUUUUGGGAUGGUUGCUCUGGUCAGCAAGCCAGGACAGACCUUGGCCCCCCUGAUAGGCACCUGGCUGCUCUCUGUGUACACAGUCUGUUCUGACAGGAGUAGGAGAGCGAGCAGUGUGGCCUCAGCUGGGAACAGACCACCAAAUCUGCCUACCUCCCUCCAACUUCUCCCAGCCCAGCAGUGAGCCCUGAGAAUGUGCUUCCAGCUGGAGCAGCACGCUACCUGCUUACAUUCAUGUCUGAUGGGGCAGUGCACAGGCUUCUGCCAGGCCUCUGGAGCAGGGCUGCUGCAGCCUUCCAGCUCUUUCCCUGUCUUGGCUCUGGAGAGCGACCCCAGGGUGAUGUGUGGAAAUGAAGAGAAAGGAGGGGAACACAGAGGAACUGCCAACAAGCAACUCCAGGCCCGCUGCUAAUGCCAGGUACUGCAGAAAAUCAGUGGUGAAGCAAAUGAGCACCAAGUAAUGCAUAAGAACACUCACGACUAACAGUGCCGCAACCCAACACAAGCUGCUCUGGAGGCCUUCCAAUCUCUGUAGAAACAGCAGCUACAGAAGAGCAGCCAGUAGAUGAGCAGAAAGGCAUAAGCAGCUCAGUGGGACGGCAGAACACAGCCCCUGCAACAGCUUGCUGCUCACAACCCAGCUGCUCACAUCACUGUACACAUACUGAUACAAGUUAUUGUCCUCUCAUGUAGUGUAUUCAUAGAGAACAGCAAAACUUCCUAAAAAAAAGUUAUUGAGUGCUGUAGCAGGGCUGACUAGUUAUUAUGCUAAGCAUGUGUGCUGUUGUCACGGUUUUAUGAUUUUUGGGCAUCAGUAUUCCACACCAUAACAUCAUGUAAUGCACUGGGGGUGGGGUUUGACA